AGAGUUUGAUCAUGGCUCAGAACGAACGUUAGCGGCGCGCCUAACACAUGCAAGUCGAACGCGACAGGGGCAACUCUGUUGAGUGGCGCACGGGUGAGUAACACGUAGGUAAUCUUCCCCCGAGUGGUGGAUAACCUUCCGAAAGGAGGGCUAAUACAGCAUAAGACCACGGCCUCGAAAGAGGCUGAGAUCAAAGCGGAGGAUCGCAAGACUUCGCGCUUGGGGAUGAGCCUGCGGCCCAUCAGGUAGUUGGCGGGGUAAUGGCCCACCAAGCCUAAGACGGGUAGCUGGUCUGAGAGGAUGAUCAGCCACACUGGAACUGAGACACGGUCCAGACUCCUACGGGAGGCAGCAGUGGGGAAUCUUGCGCAAUGGACGAAAGUCUGACGCAGCGACGCCGCGUGGGUGAUGAAGGCCUUCGGGUUGUAAAGCCCUGUGGGGAGGGACGAAUAAGUUCCGGUUAAUACCCGGAGCGAUGACGGUACCUCCUUAGCAAGCACCGGCUAACUCUGUGCCAGCAGCCGCGGUA
rnacentral:rRNA from 1 species